ACUUAAAUAAUUUAAUUAAAAUAUCAGCUUGUGGGUCUGAAAAUGUAUUGUAUACUUUAGGUU
rnacentral:tRNA from 1 species